GUAUUCAUUUUAUGUUUUCUAUAACUUUUUUUGUUAUAGAGAAUUUAUAAAGAUAUGAAGUUUCCUAUAAUUAUUAUUAGGUACUUUGAAAACUAUAGCUUUUUAUAUUAUAGAAAUGUUUGAGUUUUUAUAUAUAACUAGUAGAAAAGUAUUCGAAUGAAACCUAGUUUCUCCUUAUGCUGAUUUAUACUUGUUGUUGUAUAGAAAUUAGUUUUUAUAAUAUAUAAGAGUUCAUAAACCAUAUAAAGUAUUUUAUCCUAGAUAAUUUUACUUUGAA
rnacentral:misc_RNA from 1 species